CACACAGCGCGCGGUCCAAACCUUCGGAGGGCAUUCGGUGCGACGGCAUCCCCACGCCGCGGCCGGCCGGAGGGGGCCUCAGACAACACGUCUCAAGUAAACUCGAGGGACAGAUUCAUGGGGAACCAGACGGACAGAUGGACGAGAGCCAUCCAGAUGAUCACAGACCACAUUAGCGUUUAAACCUCAAAAAUGAGGAUCAUACUCCUCGCUUCUCCUGAGCGUAACAUUCCUGAACACGGAGCAUGAGGGAAUCUACACAUCUCAGGCCACGAAGAGAAGGGGCUGGCCUCGUUCUCCGCCUGCUACAGGCGGACUUCUCUGGGUGUGGGGAGACCACGGCUAGCAGCAGCUCACAUCUCACAGCAUCUCUGCUGGAGCAGGAAAGCCGUCCCCGCUCUCUGCACUCACAGACCCCAGCCUGGACACCUGCCCACUCCUGGACUAGUCCCUGAGGCCAGGGAGGUCCCAUCUUUGGCCUGCCCAGGGUCAUGGUGCUGAAGAAUGAGACUGGUGCUGGGAAAGACGCCACGACAGCCUCCGCCGUCCUCUGGUUCUAGCCACAGCUGCGGUGGACCACUGGCCAGGCUCCGACUCGCCCGGCUGCCAGGUCCCCUCUAGCAUUCUGGCGUCAUGCUGCGUUCUGCUCCCAGGCCUCACCAACACCCCUGGGUCUUGAGCCCAUGCAACCUGGAGUGCGGGGAGUCAGUGCCACCUGGGCACCCCUGACUUAUUUUGAAGAAGAAUCCCUGGAGAAUUGCUGCUGCCCCUCUCCUUCAGGGAUCAGUUCCAGAACCUUCCUUCCACGUCUCAGUGGACCGGAACCCCCUUUCCCCACAGCAGGGAGCAAGCGAUGAGCCCUGGGAUCCCCUCCCAGGUAGACUGCCUGCACCCACAUGCUUUCCAGGCUCUGAUUGCCAGGACCUCACACUCAGCCACAUCACCG